CGGCCAAGGGCAUGGCUGGGUAGCUAUGUACGGAAUGGAUAAGCGCUGAAAGCAUCUAAGCGCGAAGCCAACUUCAAGAUAAGAUUUCCCACCGCAAGGGUAAGACUCCAGAAAGACUAUCUGGUUGAUAGGUCGAAGGUGUAAGUGCAGCAAUGUAUUUAGCUUAUCGAUACUAAUAGGUCGAGGACUUGACCAAUAUUUAUU
rnacentral:rRNA from 1 species